ensembl:lncRNA SDHAP4 SDHA pseudogene 4
AGUCUGCGCAGGGACUGGCGGGACUGCGCGGAGGCGACUGCAGACGUAUCGGGGGUCCGGAGCCUGUCGCGGCUGCUAAGCGCUCGGCGCCUGGCGCUGGCGCUGGCCAAGGCUGACACUAACCCUCUGGAUCUGUGUCUUCUGUGUCUCCAGUGGCCAACAGUGUUGCAAACAGGAACCCGAGGUGUUCACUUCACUGUUGAAGGAACGAGAGGGCAUCUGCUAAAGUUUCAGAUUCCAUUUCUGCUCAGUAUCCAGUAGUGGAUCAUGAAUUUGAUGCAGUGGUGGUAGGCGCUGGAGGGGCAGGCUUUGCGAGCUGCAUUUGGCCUUUCCGAGGCAGAGUUUGAUACAGCAUGUGUUACCAAGCUGUUUCCUACCAGGUCACACACUGUUGCAGCGCAGCUAGAAAAUUAUGGCAUGCCGUUUAGCAGAACUGAAGAUGGGAAGAUUUAUCAGCGUGCAUUUGGUGGACAGAGCCUCAAGUUUGGAAAGGGCAGGCAGGCCCAUCGGUGCUGCUGUGUGGCUGAUCGGACCGGCCACUCAAUAUUGCACACCUCAUAUGGGAGGUCUCUGAGAUAUGAUACCAGCUGUUUUGUGGAGUAUUUUGCCUUGGAUCUCCUGAUAGAGAACAGGGAGUGCCGUGGUGUCAUUGCACUGUGCAUAGAGGACGGGUCCAUCCAUCACAUAAGAGCAAAGAACACUGUUGUUGCCACAGGAGUCAAGAAACUUUUCUUUUGAGCUAUUGACAGCUUUUAACAAGUUAUUAUACUCCUAUGAACAAAAUUUGGAGCAUAUUUGUUUCUCUCUGCCUGAUUUCUCCUGAAUUUGGAAACUAUUUGACAUGAGGAUUCUCAACCUGAUAAAAAUGAGCUUUCCUAAUAACUCAAGACCCAUCUGCCUAGGAAUAAACCAUCCCAGCUGUGAGAGACCAGACGAAACCUGAGACCAGAGACUCGUUUUCUUCUAAAAUGCUUUCUCCAAAAGAUUUUUAAACAGAAAAAGGGGGAAAUGUGAAAGGAAAAGAAAACUUGAGGCCCCCAAAAUCACUAAGCUAAAAGGAAAAGUCAAGCUGGGAAUGGCUUAGGGCAAACCUGCCUCCCAUUCUAUGCAAAGUCAUCCCUCCGUGCACUGAGAUAAAUGCUUAUCUAAUUGCCUCCUUUGGAGAGGCUCAUCAGAAACUCAAAAUAAUGCAACCAUUUGACUCUCACCUACCUGUGACCUGGAAGAUCCCUCUCUGCUUGAGUUGUCCUGCUUUUCUGGAUGGAACCAAUGUUCAUCUUACAUAUAUUGAUUGAUGUCUCAUGUCUCCCUAAAAUGUAUAAAACCAAGCUGUGCCCUGACCACCUUGGGCACAUGUCGUCAGGACCUCCUGAGGCUGUGCCACAGGCAUGCAGCCUCAACCUUGGCAAAAUAAACUUUCUAAAUUGACUGAGA